GACCACUUCUCUUCGCCCAAGCAACAAAUGCUUCCCCAUCCUGGCGAAACUGAAAGAUGUGAAGAACAUGAACUGGUGUAAGUUCAUUGCCGACUUCCUGCAUGAUGCAUUUGCAAGCAAGGUGUACCAGAAGGGUUGUCGACUGCAUUUAAUGCUCAUGUACGUCGACUGCCUUGAUCUGUCCACCGUGGACUUCACUGGGACAGGAGGCCCGCCGCCUGCGCACAAGUUUGCUGUUUCUGC